GGGGGUGUAGCUCAGUUGGUUAGAGCAGGGAGCUUUUAACUCCAAGGUCGAAGGUUCGAACCCUUCUACCCCACCA
rnacentral:tRNA from 1 species